AUAAUACACGAAAAACCUUACCAAGGUUUGACAUCCCUCGCAAAGCUAUAGAAAUAUAGUAGAGGUUAUCGAGGUGACAGGUGGUGCAUGGCUGUCGUCAGCUCGUGUCUUGAGAUGUUUGGUUAAGUCCCGCAACGAGCGCAACCCCACUCUUUAGUUACUUGUCUAAAGAGACUGCACAGUAAUGUAGAGGAAGGAUGGGAUCACGUCAAGUCAUCAUGCCCCUUAUGCCUUGGGCUGCAAACGCGCUACAAUGGCGAACACAAUGUGUUGCAAACCAGCGAUGGUAAGCUAAUCACCAAAUUUCGUCUCAGUUCGGAUAGGAGGCUGCAAUUCGCCUCCUUGAAGUUGGAAUCACUAGUAAUCCC
rnacentral:rRNA from 1 species